rnacentral:rRNA from 1 species
UUUUUGGAGAGUUUGAUCUUGGCUCAGGACGAACGCUGGCGGCGUGCCUAAUACAUGCAAGUCGAGCGCUGGAAGCUAAUUUCAUCCCUUCGGGAUGAAAUUAGUGGAAAGAGCGGCGGACGGGUGAGUAACACGUGGGCAACCUACCUAUAAGACUGGGAUAACUCGCGGAAACGUGAGCUAAUACCGGAUAAUACUUUUUAUUGCAUAAUAAGAAGUUUGAAAGGCGGCGUAAGCUGUCACUUAUAGAUGGGCCCGCGGCGCAUUAGCUAGUUGGUGAGGUAAAGGCUCACCAAGGCAACGAUGCGUAGCCGACCUGAGAGGGUGAUCGGCCACACUGGGACUGAGACACGG